rnacentral:rRNA from 1 species
GAUGAACGCUAGCGGCAGGCUUAACACAUGCAAGUCGAGGGGUAGAGGAAGCUUGCUUCCUUGAGACCGGCGCACGGGUGCGUAACGCGUAUACAAUCUACCUUUUACAGAGGGAUAGCCCCAGAGAAAUUUGGAUUAAUACCUCAUAGUAUUUUCGGAUCGCAUGAUUUGAUUAUUAAAGUUCCAACGGUAAAAGAUGAGUAUGCGUCCCAUUAGCUAGAUGGUAAGGUAACGGCUUACCAUGGCAAUGAUGGGUAGGGGUCCUGAGAGGGAGAUCCCCCANACUGGUACUGGAGACACGGACCAGACUCCGUAACGGGGACGGCAGCAGUGGAAGGAAUUAGUUGGAAC